rnacentral:rRNA from 1 species
GACGUAGGGGGCCAGCGUUGCUCGGAAUUACUGGGCGUAAAGGGUUCGUAGGCGGUGCGGUGUGUCGGGUGUGAAAUCUCUGGGCUUAACUCAGAGGCUGCUUCCGAAACUGGCGUGCUCGAGUGUGGGAGAGGCCAGUGGAAUUGCAGGUGUAGCGGUGAAAUGCGUAGAUAUCUGCAGGAACACCCGUGGCGAAGGCGGCUGGCUGGACCACUACUGACGCUGAGGAACGAAAGCUAGGGGAGCAAACAGG